CUAUCACAUGGGUUUUAUUUUUACCUUGGUGUUUUCAACCCUGUCCAGUUGGUGGCGGUAACACACCUUUUUGGGCUGUAGUCUGCCAUAAAACAUACAGAAGAAGAAGACACAGGAGGUUGUUGUAUAAAACACCCAUCUCAGCAUUACGUCUUCAAUCUAAGGGCAACCAUGGCAGAGGGAGAAUCAUUCAUCCAUGUAUAAGGGGUCAGUGACUUGGGACUGAUUCUGGAAUCAAACAGCUUUUGGCCCAUGAUGGUGUUUCAUGCUGCACUCUUCUCCAAUCCACUCAGACCAACCAAAACCAGUCUCAGGUCAUUGCUGAUUUCAGCUUCUGAAAGCAACAGGGGAAAUUCUUUCUCCACGUGCCAACCCUAAACUGCCAGUCCCUCCCCUGCACCCCGAGCUAGGGCGAACCCUCGCCCUCCUCCGGUACCCCGACCACGACCUGCAGAAAGUGGAGGAAGAAGAGGUGGUGGAGGAGGAAGGACAAAGGAAGGACGGUGGAGGAUGAAAGGAGGACGGAGAAGGGAGGGAUGGUGGAGGAUGAAAGGAGGAAGGAGAAGGGAGGGAUGGUGGAG